AUUAGAUGGUUAUGCAGUUUUUUAAGUACGUUUGGGGUUGUGUCAAUUGUGUCUUCAAUGUUAGAAUGGAAAGCUUUGAAAUAUUUUUCAAAGAUUUUGUUGAAGGAAUGGAGGUUAAAAUUCCCUCUUGAAAUGGAACCUGAAAAUUUUUCACUUUCAUAGACAAAAUUAAUUAUUUCAUUUCGUUCAAUGCAUACUUCUGAUUUUCAAAAUGGAUACCAACCCACAAUAAAGUUUGUUUGUGACUGUUAUUCUUUCUUGGGCCAUAGAUGAAUAAAAAUGCCUUGGACAUGGAGUUAGAUAAAAGCUGCGCUGCAGUUCUAUCUCGUUGUCUUGCAUUUCCAUUACAUUCAAGAUGGAAUUCUUCAGUCAUUUUAAAGUUUAUCUUCAUCUCGCCAGAAUCUUAUUCAAGAAGGUCUUGGAAAUCCUCUUCGGUCAAACUUGUAGAAUUCAAAAUCCAAAUCAUUGAAAAUGUACCCAUGAUCUAAUAAAUGAUUUUGAAAUAAU
rnacentral:lncRNA from 1 species